CGGAAUUAGGCUUGGAUCCGGGCUCAGAGUGAACGCUGGCGGCGUGCUUAACACAUGCAAGUCGAACGAGGAAAAGGCUUCGGCCUGAGUACAGUGGCGCACGGGUGAGUAACACGUGAAUAACGUACCCUUGGAGUGGGGGAAUAACGUUCCGAAAGGAGCGCUAAUGCCGCAUAAGACCACGACCUCGCAUGAGGGUGGGGUCAAAGCCUUCGGGUGCUUAAGGAUCGGUUCGCGGCCCAUUAGGUAGUUGGUAGGGUAAUGGCUUACCAAGCCGAAGAUGGGUAGCUGGUCUGAGAGGAUGAUCAGCCACAUUGGGACUGAGACACGGCUCAAACUCCUAAGGGAGGCAGCAGUGGGGAAUCUUGCGCAAUGGACGGAAGUCUGACGCAGCAACGCCGCGUGAGUGAUGAAGGCCCUCGGGUCGUAAAGCUCUGUCAGAAGGGAAGAACACAAUGACGGUACGGUCAAAGGAAGCACCGGGCUA
rnacentral:rRNA from 1 species